rnacentral:rRNA from 1 species
GGUCAAGUGAGGUAAGGGCAUAUGGUGGAUGCCUCGGCACUUGGAGCCGAAGAAGGACGCGGCAAGCGGCGAAACGCUCCGGGGAGCCGCAAGCGGGCGAAGAUCCGGAGGUCUCCGAAUGGGGGAACCCACUCGAGGUAAUACUCGAGUAUCCACUGAUGAACACAUAGUCAGUGGAGGGGAACCGCGCGAACUGAAACAUCUAAGUAGCGCGAGGAAAAGAAAGAAAAGAAUCGAUUCCCUAAGUAGCGGCGAGCGAAAGGGGAGAAGCCCAAACCUGACACGGAAGUGUCAGGGGUUAGGGCCCACCGUAGAAGUGAGUGAGUACUCUAGGCGAACGGACCUGGAAAGGCCGGCCGAAGAAGGUGAAAGCCCUGUAGUCGAAAGGGGAAAGCUUGCAGGUGGGGACCAGAGUACCACGGGAUAGGCGACCCUGUGGGAAGGCGGGAGGACCACCUCCCAAGGCUAAAUACUACCAAGUGACCGAUAGCGGAUAGUACCGUGAGGGAAAGGUGAAAAGAACCCCGGGAGGGGAGUGAAAGAGAACCUGAAACCAUAUGCCUACAAGCAGUCAGAGUCUGCCGUAAGGCAGAUGAUGGCGUACUUUUUGUAGAACGGGCCGGCGAGUUACGGUAGCAAGCGAGGUUAAGCGGUAAGCGGAGCCGAAGCGAAAGCGAGUCCGAAAAGGGCGAAAGUUUGCUGCUGUAGACCCGAAACCGUGCGACCUACCCAUGGCCAGGGUGAAGCCGGAGUAAGAUCUGGUGGAGGCCCGAACCACGUUGGCGUUGAAAAGCCAUGGGAUGAGCUGUGGGUAGAGGUGAAAUGCCAAUCGAGCACGGAGAUAGCUGGUUCUCCCCGAAAUAGCUUUAGGGCUAGCCUCAGGGUAGGACCUAUGGAGGUAGAGCACUGAAUGGGCUAGGGGCCAAGGAGGUUACCGAACCCUAUCAAACUCCGAAUGCCAUAGGUUAAUACCUGGGAGUCAGACUACGAGUGAUAAGAUCCGUAGUCGAGAGGGGAACAGCCCAGACCUCCAGCUAAGGUCCCAAAGGGCAUGUUAAGUGGUAAAGGAAGUGGGACUUCGAAGACAACCAGGAUGUUGGCUUAGAAGCAGCCAUACAUUUAAAGAGUGCGUAACAGCUCACUGGUCGAGAGGUCCUGCGCCGAAAAUGAACGGGGCUCAAACAUGCCACCGAAGCUGGGGCUA